rnacentral:lncRNA from 1 species
AAGUUGCAGACUGUGCUCAGCAAGACCUCACAACAUGGAGGAAAAUUAAAGAGAUAAAUGGUCCAUGGAGUAUUCCCUUACCCCACUAUAAAUUGACAUCAUUUUGUGCACAAUCCAGGGAGAAGAGAAAGAAGACCAGAAGCUCGCAAACCAUCCGAGAGAAGGAAGGGAGCUUUGUCAUGUUGCCAUCUGAGAUUAUGCCUCCAAAUCCUAUGGAAGUAUAACAACCAUAGAACAGACAACACCAACAGCAUCAACAACAGAGAAACUCAGUCCAGAAGGAUAUGAAACCCUUUGUAGUAAAGCAAGCAACAGCCGUGAA